CAGAUUGCAGGCUGCAACUCGCCUGCAUGAAGUCGGAAUUGCUAGUAAUCGCAGAUCAGCAUGCUGCGGUGAAUACGUUCCCGGGCCUUGUACACACCGCCCGUCACACCAUGGGAGUCGGUAACACCCGAAGUCGCUAGCCUAACCGUAAGGAGGGCGCCGCCGAAGGUGGGAUUGAUGACUGGGGUGAAGUCGUAACAAGGUAAC
rnacentral:rRNA from 1 species